rnacentral:lncRNA from 1 species
GGAUUGCCUUUUAAUGAAUCCAACUUCUUAAUGAUAAAAAUCACUGAACCAAAAGAUACUUUCAAGCAGCCUUAUUACCUAUAUUAGGUAUAAGUAAAUCGAGUCUAAUUUGAAGUGUUUUAAAACAUAGCACAAAAACAGCACAAUCCGCCAGAACACAACACAAAACAGUCCUCUAAGGAAUAUAAACACUUGGUAUAUAAAAACGUGAAACUACAUAAUAAAAAAUCUCAAUUACCUAAAAUUUAAUUGCUAAAGAUUAUUUAUUGCACAAUACAUCAGUUUGCCCCAAAAACAAAACAGAUACUAUUAUCUUCAACUUCUAAAUUCAGUACAUAGUCAAAUCCAUUUUCUCAAACUAAAGUUCUACAGUAUUAUGAGUAAACCUUUGUUAUUAAGACAGGGAAACUUUAUAACUUACAAAUUUCUUAAGAGUUCAUGAAACAGCUUCAUAAAUCCUAGAAGGCACACAUAUUUCCUAUCAUAGUAAGUGCAUUUAAGUACUUAAUAUUUAAAAAAGACAAGCUGUACAGAAUACAAAAAGUACACAUUUCAUCCAUUAAACAAAUUUACAACUUUUGCAAUUAGU